GGUGUUGUGGCUCAGUGGUAGAUCACUCACCUAGCAUGUGUGAGGCCCUGAGUUCAAUCCUCAGCACCACAU
rnacentral:tRNA from 1 species